rnacentral:rRNA from 1 species
UGCCAGCAGCCGCGGUAAUACGGAGGGUGCAAGCGUUGCUCGGAAUCACUGGGCGUAAAGCGGACGCAGGCGGCUUGUCAGGUCGGGUGUGAAAUCCCGGGGCUCAACCCCGGAACUGCACUCGAAACCGGCAGCCUUGAGUACGGGAGAGGGGAGCGGAAUUCCUGGUGUAGAGGUGAAAUUCGUAGAUAUCAGGAGGAACACCAGCGGCGAAAGCGGCUCCCUGGCUCGAUACUGACGCUCAUGUCCGAAAGCGUGGGUAGCAAACAGGAUUAGAUA